GGGUGUGAGGGCGAUCUGGCUGCAGCGUGUCACCCACGGAUCUCCAGGGUCGGUUCGGCUGGUCUGGCUGGUCUGUCCUCUCCCUCCCUCGCCGCUCCUGCGUGUCCCUCUCUUCCCUGAGAGAGACGGACUGUUCUCAGCCAGGGGCAUGCAGGCAGGUGCGCAUCCCUGCUGUCCAUCCAAGCAAGUCCACAGGGUGCUGGCCUUGCAU
rnacentral:snRNA from 1 species